rnacentral:rRNA from 1 species
UACGGGAGGCAGCAGUAGGGAAUCUUCCACAAUGGGCGAAAGCCUGAUGGAGCAACGCCGCGUGUGUGAUGAAGGGUUUCGGCUCGUAAAACACUGUUGUAAGAGAAGAAUGACAUUGAGAGUAACUGUUCAAUGUGUGACGGUAUCUUACCAGAAAGGAACGGCUAAAUACGUGCCAGCAGCCGCGGUAAU